GAUGAACGCUGGCGGCGUGCUUAACACAUGCAAGUCGAGCGAUUCUCUUCGGAGAAGAGCGGCGGACGGGUGAGUAACGCGUGGGUAACCUGCCCUGUACACACGGAUAACAUACCGAAAGGUAUGCUAAUACGAGAUAAUAUGCUUUUAUCGCAUGGUAGAAGUAUCAAAGCUUUUGCGGUACAGGAUGGACCCGCGUCUGAUUAGCUAGUUGGUAAGGUAACGGCUUACCAAGGCGACGAUCAGUAGCCGACCUGAGAGGGUGAUCGGCCACAUUGGAACUGAGACACGGUCCAAACUCCUACGGGAGGCAGCAGUGGGGAAUAUUGCACAAUGGGCGAAAGCCUGAUGCAGCAACGCCGCGUGAGCGAUGAAGGCCUUCGGGUCGUAAAGCUCUGUCCUCAAGGAAGAUAAUGACGGUACUUGAGGAGGAAG
rnacentral:rRNA from 1 species